AAGCGCUCGUGACCAGACUUGCGCCGGGCGGAUCAUCCAGCGUUCUCGCUGGUGCACUCCGCCCGGCUCAGGCCAGCAUCGGUUUUCGCCGGGGGACAAAAGCUUCGGGAACGUGGCUCCUUUCGGGGAGUGUUAUAGCCCGUUGCGUAAUACCCCGGCGGGGACCGAGGACCGCGCUUCGGCAAGGAUGCUGGCGUAAUGGUCAUCAGCGA
rnacentral:rRNA from 1 species